CAACUGGUAGAGAUAAGCGUUCUGCAGCCUCUCAAGCACAUUCUUCGCGUCUAUAUCCUCCACAAGACUCAGGUGGCACGCGUCUUUCAGAUCAGCAAUGUCAUACUUAUCAGCUGCUUGGAGAAGCGCCAACCUGUCAUGUAGAAACAUGCUGCGGAAAACAGUUGAACGGGCUGCUAGAACAGCUCGGUGUGCUCCGAUGCUUCCACCAGAGGCAUUGAUCGUUACGUCUGUGUAGAUGCUUUCUGUCAACAUACGUCCUAGGGAUGUCACCGCUGUAACUUCUGAUUGGUUCUGCGUUGAACCGUCUGCCCAAAUCGAGUAGAACUCUCCACUCUGCCAAGUCAUCAGAACUUUGAGGUCAAGAAACUCGACGUCGAUGAUGAUUUUUCCAGUUAAGGGAACUUCAAUGGUCCAGAGGAAAUCUUCAAACAAAGCAAGAUGUUCUUGUCUCUUACCUGGAUGAGAAAAAGCUUUCCUCUCACCAGAAGAAGAGACAACACGAAGAACAAAGGAAGCAACAGGUGAAAUAAAAAGAAAGGAGAGAGAGAGUACCAGUUCCAAAGACCCAUCUUGAAAGGAUCGGACUUGCGGUAAGUGGAAGAAGAGAGGUUGUGGAUACGCCAUUGGGCGAGCCUGGAGGUGGUGUCUACUCUGUAAGCUGAAUCAGUCAUCCUAGAGAAAGCCAGAGCUGCAGAGAUGUCAUAGAUGCAAUCCAACAAACCCUCCAGCAGAUUCUCCCCUGACUUUCCCAGGUGCAGUCAGAGAGAAUCAAGGAGAGAAUGGGGUUUAGGGAGAUGAAUUGUUUAAUGGAUUGGAGGAAUCAUUAGCGUUUCUUGGAUUGGUAAUUCUUCUGGGGAAGCAAAGUCUGUGCUUUGCUUUUACGUCAUUUGAAAGAGAGAGACAUGGGGAAAGAGUAAAGUGUGUUUGGUUCUUUGUGUUCCUUACACUUGGCUUUAUUUCUCACACUGGCCCCAGUCUUAUGGGGCGUGUGUCUCUUUUAUUGGACUGUCUUUAAGUCUUCUCUUCCAACUAAAUUUUAGACUUUAGGUUUAUUGACAAUUCAAGAUUUAUUGGCUUGGAUAUGGUUUAUGGUUUAUGUUUUAUCCUUUAAGGAUUAUAAAUUGAUCUCAUGUUAUGCAUAGUAUUUUUUUUUUGU